CUUGCGGAGCCCUCAGGUCCAAGGAGCUUUAAGGUAUGAAUCGCCUUAUUGGAGAUCCCUUGCCGCAAACCGCAUUCAAGUUGCAUGGAGAUAUAGACAGAAACGUCUGAGUCGUGUUAAUUCCUCAGUAACAACUAAACAUUGAGGUUUGGGCAUCUUCUAGGUGUUAGUCUCCAAAGCAUGAGUGAUCCAUCAGGUUCUUUGUAAACCUUUAUUAUCACUUCAUUUAUCAAUUACUUUCAUAAUUCUUUGGUUUCAUAAUUCUGUGGAAUUUGGAUGUUCUGUUUCCCAUAUACAUAAUCCUUGAUGCCAAAAGAUCAUGAAACUUGCUUUUUAAAUACAAUAGUAUUCUUUCAUCUUUUCUUUAGAUACAAAGACUUGCAUUGUUAUCUAACUGUUAAAGAGAAAUAAUUAUUUUGAAUUGAAAUUGUGUGAUUUAAUUAUGUGUGAUGACAAAGCUGUUGAAAUUGAGCUAUUUAAACUGCUUCUAGGGACUGUUAUUUGCAUUCUGAAUUGCAGGUAACUAAUAUGACAAGGGGACUUAUUGUUGAUGCAGACUGGACUUUAUCUAUUAUACAUACUCAUGUGUAGUUUAAUAUAUAUCCUCUUUGUCUUUGUGGAGCUUGGACUUUUUAUGCAUGGACUACAUAUUCCCACUGUUUUAUAACCGUGGCAAUAGAGGCCACAUAUUGCCACACUCUAUUGCCACGGUUACGCACAUGACCGUAGCAAUAUUUGGACUCUAUUGCCACGGUUACGACGUAACCGUGGCAAUUUCUGGCCUCUAUUGCCACGGUUACCAUUUACGACCUGUGGUAAUAGGCUAAUCAAUUGCCACGGUUCUCCCUUGAACCGUGGCAAUUGAGCAAUUGCCACGCAAGCUAUCGCCACGAUUAAACCGUGGCGAA